rnacentral:rRNA from 1 species
AUAUUUGAUCCUGGCUCAGGAUGAACGCUAGCGGCAGGCCUAACACAUGCAAGUCGAGGGGUAGAAGUCUUUGGGCUUUGAGACCGGCGCACGGGUGCGUAACGCGUAUGCAAUUUACCUUAUACAGGGGAAUAGCCCAGAGAAAUUUGGAUUAAUGCCCCAUGGUAUUAUGAAAUCGCAUGGUUUUAUAAUUAAAGUUCCAACGGUAUAAGAUGAGCAUGCGUCCCAUUAGUUAGUUGGUAAGGUAACGGCUUACCAAGACAAUGAUGGGUAGGGGUCCUGAGAGGGAGAUCCCCCACACUGGUACUGAGACACGGACCAGACUCCUACGGGAGGCAGCAGUGAGGAAUAUUGGUCAAUGGGCGCAAGCCUGAACCAGCCAUGCCGCGUGCAGGAAGAAGCAUCUAUGGUGUGUAAACUGCUUUUAUACAGGAAGAAACAACUCUACGUGUAGAGUCUUGACGGUACUGUAUGAAUAAGGACCGGCUAACUUCCUGCCAGCAGCCGCGGUAAUACGGAGGGUCCAACCGUUAUCCGGAAUCAUUGGGUUUAAAGGGUCCGUAGGCGGCCUUAUAAGUCAGUGGUGUAAUCUCCUAGCUUAACUAGGAAACUGCCAUUGAUACUGUAAGGCUUGAAUUUUUGUGAAGUAACUAGAAUAUG